AGAUUAAAUGGCUGCAGUAACCAUGACUGUAAAAAUGUAGCAUAAUAAUUCGCCGCUUAAUUAGUGGAUAGUAUGAACGGUUUAACGAAAAUUCCACUGUCUUAUGAAAUAAAAAAAAAAUUUAAAUCAUAGUUAAGAGCUAUGUAAAACUGUAAGACGAAAAGACCCUAUAAAGCUUAACUAUAUUUCUUAAUAAAUUAAAAAAAAAAUAAAAACAAUUAUUAAUUAAGAUUUGGUAGUUUCAUUGGGGCGAUGGUCUCUAAAAAUAAACAGAGAUAAACCUAUAUAAUAAUAAAAAUUUACUGUAUAAUUAAUAAAUUUAACAGUUACAAAGUAGGGUAUAAUGACCCAUUAUUUUAAUAAAAAAAAAAUAAUGAUCAAUAGAUAAAAGCUACUUUAGGGAUAACAGGAUAAUAAUUUCUUAGAGACCCAAUCGAAGAAAAAGUUUAUCACCUCGAUGUUGAAUUAAGAUAACCUAAUGACGCAGC
rnacentral:rRNA from 1 species